rnacentral:rRNA from 1 species
GAGGAUCCGAGCGUUAUCCGGAUUUAUUGGGUUUAAAGGGUGCGUAGGUGGUUUGAUAAGUCAGCGGUGAAAGUUUGCAGCUUAACUGUAAAAAUGCCGUUGAAACUGUCGGACUUGAGUGUAAGUGAGGUAGGCGGAAUGCGUGGUGUAGCGGUGAAAUGCAUAGAUAUCACGCAGAACUCCGAUUGCGAAGGCAGCUUACUAAGCUACAACUGACACUGAAGCACGAAAGCGUGGGGAUCAAACAGGAUUAGAUACCCUGGUAGUCCACGCAGUAAACGAUGAUUACUAGCUGUUUGCGAUACACAGUAAGCGGCACAGCGAAAGCGUUAAGUAAUCCACCUGGGGAGUACGCCGGCAACGGUGAAACUCAAAGGAAUUGACGGGGGCCCGCACAAGCGGAGGAACAUGUGGUUUAAUUCGAUGAUACGCGAGGAACCUUACCCGGGUUUGAACGUAGGGAGACAGGAGUGGAAACAUUCUAUUCAGCAAUGACUGCCUACGAGGUGCUGCAUGGUUGUCGUCAGCUCGUGCCGUGAGGUGUCGGCUUAAGUGCCAUAACGAGCGCAACCCUUAUUUCCAGUUACUAACAGGUGAAGCUGAGGACUCUGGAGAGACUGCCAGCGUAAGCUGUGAGGAAGGUGGGGAUGACGUCAAAUCAGCACGGCCCUUACAUCCGGGGCGACACACGUGUUACAAUGGUAAGGACAAAGGGCAGCUACCGGGCGACCGGAUGCGAAUCUCUAAAGCCUGUCCCAGUUCGGAUUGGAGUCUGCAACUCGACUCCAUGAAGUUGGAUUCGCUAGUAAUCGCGCAUCAGCCAUGGCGCGGUGAAUACGUUCCCGGGCCUUGCACACACCGCCC